AACAUNGACACUUCGAACGCACAUUGCGGUCCACGGAUACGAAUCCCGGACCACGCCUGGCUGAGGGUC
rnacentral:rRNA from 2 species